GAUGAACGCUGGCGGCGUGCCUAAUACAUGCAAGUCGAGCGAACAGAUGAGGAGCUUGCUCCUCUGACGUUAGCGGCGGACGGGUGAGUAACACGUGGAUAACCUACCUAUAAGACUGGGAUAACUUCGGGAAACCGGAGCUAAUACCGGAUAAUAUAUUGAACCGCAUGGUUCAAUAGUGAAAGACGGUUUUGCUGUCACUUAUAGAUGGAUCCGCGCCGCAUUAGCUAGUUGGUAAGGUAACGGCUUACCAAGGCAACGAUGCGUAGCCGACCUGAGAGGGUGAUCGGCCACACUGGAACUGAGACACGGUCCAGACGCCUACGGGAGGCAGCAGUAGGGAAUCUUCCGCAAUGGGCGAAAGCCUGACGGAGCAACGCCGCGUGAGUGAUGAAGGGCUUCGGAUCGUAAAACUCUGUUAUUAGGGAAGAACAAAUGUGUAAGUAACUAUGCACGUCUUGACGGUACCGAAUCAGAAAGCCACGGCUAACUACGU
rnacentral:rRNA from 1 species